AUAAAAUGUGAAUCUGGCCAGGCUACGUGAUGCGCCCGCGUUUUUUUUUUAUAUACUCGCGAUUUAUAAAAAAAUCUUUAUGUACGUUAUCCCUGUACCCCCUGUAGUUAGUAAUGUGUUGAGUAGAAGUUAUUGUUGAUGGUUGUUGUUAUAAAAUGUGAUUCUGGCCAGGCUACGUGAUGCGCCCGCGGUUUUUUGAUAUACUCAUACUCGAGUAUUGUAUUUGAUAUGUAUUUGUAUCUUUUUCACCAAUAAAAUAAUCAUAUGUUUUUUUUUAUUUUUGUUUUAUGCUUCCUAUCUCCUUUAGACCUCUUGCUUCAUGUUUAACCUACUCUUUUUAUGCUAUGACUUGUGUAUUUAGAAUUUGUGUACUAUGAUUAUGUUUGAUAUGUUUAAUUAUGUAAAUAAUAAAUUAGAUUUUGAAAUGCCUGUAUUUGUUUGCUCUAAUACCUAUAUUUUUGUUUUACAGAUCUACUUGCCAGGUUCUUUAACUGUUUGUUUUUUCCCCUAUUCUAAUGUUUUGUGUUUUUUUUUGUGUUUUUGGAAACCCCCUGGAAAGAAGAUGUUGGUGUUCUAGUUCUACAUUGUGGCGGAGACGUGAUGAUGUGGAUAGCUGCAUGUGUAUUAUUGGUUGGAAACUGGCAUGAUGGAGCAAUUAGACCAUGGAGGAGUGAUGAAGCGGAAGUGGAUAAGACUAUCAGUUCUUCGAGAGUCCCAGUGCCUAUAUACUCGCAAGAAGGAUAUGGUAUGGAAUAGCUUAGUACAUCUAUGUGCUGGCAGAUUUGUACAACAAUAAGUUGUUCCAGUGUGAAGAAAGAUGCGUGUCAUAAGACCAUGGAGGAGUGAUGAAGCGGAAGUGGAUAAGACUAUCAGUUCUUCGAGAGUCCCAGUGCCUAUAUACUCGCAAGAAGGAUAUGGUAUGGAAUAGCUUAGUACAUUUAUGUGCUGGCAGAUUUGUACAACAAUAAGUUGUUCCAGUGUGAAGAAAGAUACGUGU